UACGUAGGGGGCUAGCGUUGUCCGGAAUCAUUGGGCGUAAAGCGCGCGUAGGCGGCCCGGUAAGUCCGUUGUGAAAGUCAAAGGCUCAACCUUUGAAAGCCGAUGGAUACUGCCGGGCUAGAGUCCGGAAGAGGCGAGUGGAAUUCCUGGUGUAGCGGUGGAAUGCGCAGAUAUCAGGAGGAACACCGAUAGCGAAGGCAGCUCGCUGGACCGGAACUGACGCUGAGGCGCGAAAGCGUGGGGAGCAAACAGG
rnacentral:rRNA from 1 species